GGGGUCGACUGGUUUUGACAGCGAGAUUAAUAGGAUUGUAAGCACGUCGAGUGGUGAAAUAACACUCGUAAAUCCCUAUUUCAACUUUUUUAAACGGCGAAAAUAAUUACGCUCUAGCUGCUUAAUAUCUGAAUUAUAGUAAGAUAAAGCCUCGUCCUACAAGGUAGGAAAGCUGGAUGUCUGCUGAAAGCCCUGAUUAACGGCGUUCUAUUUACAGACAUCGUAAAAGUUAAUCUAGAGAUUGAGAUGUUUCGACUCUUUUUCGAAAUUUAAGAAACUAAGUAAAUCGUUGGCAGUUUCAGGUCUAUCGAUUUAACGAAAAUAAAACUGAAACUAAGCGUGUAGAAAGCCAUUUUGUUACUUGUUUGGACCCGAGUUCGAUUCUCGGCGACUCCACAA
rnacentral:tmRNA from 1 species